UACAGAGGCCACGAGCGUUAGGCGGAAUCACUGGGCUUAAAGCGUGUGUAGGUGGAUGGGUAGGUACCUUGUGAAAUCCCACGACUCAAUCGUGGAACUGCUUGGUAUACUGCCUGUCUUGAGGCACUCAGGGGCGAGCGGAACAGAUGGUGGAGCGGUGAAAUGCGUAGAUAUCAUCUGGAACGCCAAUGGUGAAGACAGCUCGCUGGGGGUGUACUGACACUGAGACACGAAAGCCAGGGGAGCAAACGGG
rnacentral:rRNA from 1 species